AGCAAGAGUAAGAAGUAUUGGCAGCAGCAAGCAGGCGGGCAGGCUGAGAUCUUGCAUGGAAAUCAUGAACCAGGUCUUGCUUUUCGUUUUUGAAACGUUUUGGAAGGAGAGUUAUGAAUAGCCCAGAAAUAGGUCUCAUUUUGUGGGUAGGAAGAAUGACCAGAAGCAUGAAAGCUAAAUCUCCUGGCAAGUGCAGGGGACCUCUCUUGGAGUGUGCAGUAAACCCGAGGGGACGACUUCGCCUGCUGUCAACUCCUGAACCAUCACAUCUGGAGUGAAGGAAGGGGCUGGUGAAGCCUUGUAAUAAAUGCAAAGGAUGCGGCUGAGAGCUUUGGUCUGCCUUUAACUCAUUGUGAUGCUACUCCCAGUCUUCACUGAGAAACUGCUCUAGCCAGUGAACGACAGUGAAUGAAGAAAUGCCUGGCUGCUCGAGACACCGAGAGUGACAGCUGCGUGCUCAGCUCAGGAGGACGUUCAUAUCCUUCUUCAAGGCUCUAGGAACAAAGCGUGGUGAUGACAGGAAGACAGUAAGAGCCCAGGACAUAGGGAUGGGAGCUAUGAAGCUCUGUGCUGUACCAAGGACACAAUCAAUGUAAUCGCGGCACCAUAACAGAGGUCAGCAGUGGGUUCGUGCAAUACUGAGCGGGUCAGCAUUCAUUCAUUCAUAUACAGAGAGGGCCCAUGCAGCCACAUCUUCUCUGCUGAAUUAUGAGCUACCGAUGGAUUGUGGGAGAAACAAACAUUCUCUUCAGCCUUGGGCCCACUUCUGAGUUCACCAGGUUAAAGUGAAUAGUCGCUAAUCCAUGGACACAGACGGCCCUGAUUAAACGCAGUGGGUUAGG
ensembl:antisense Gm13629 predicted gene 13629